rnacentral:rRNA from 1 species
UACGUAGGUGGCAAGCGUUGUCCGGAUUUACUGGGCGUAAAGAGCGCGCAGGCGGUCGUUCAAGUCGCGUGUGAAAGCCCCCGGCUCAACUGGGGAGGGUCACGCGAUACUGAUCGACUCGAAGGCAGGAGAGGGUAGUGGAAUUCCCGGUGUAGUGGUGAAAUGCGUAGAUAUCGGGAGGAACACCAGUGGCGAAGGCGACUACCUGGUCCAGCACCGACGUCAGGCACGAAAGCGUGGGAGCAAACAGG